rnacentral:ncRNA from 2 species
CUUAUCGAGAGCGGUGGAGGGAACGGCCCGAUGAAACCCGGCAACCUGCAAUGCAAGGUGCCAAAUCCGGCGAGGAAAUCGAAAGAUGAGG